rnacentral:lncRNA from 1 species
UUCUACAAGGGAUUGGAUGGCUUAUAUCAUCAAAGAAAUAAAAACAUAGCAUAGAAACUUGAAAGCAUUAAAGAGCCUAGAAACUAGAAAAAUAAUAAAUAGCCUAGGAACUAGAAACUAGUAAAAGAGCAUGGAAACUAUAAGCUAGUAAAUGCGUCACGCGAGCUUCCAAGUGUCUUUCAAGCUUCCGGGAUGGACUCGAGAUGUCGUUAUGGCUUCUCGGUUUCGUCGAGCUUUAAUGCGGGCCGAUUUUCUUGGUCGAGGGAGCCGGUCUUCAAUGUGGGCUGCAUCAUCCUCCCCAAACCAAGAUGAGACUAGGUCUCAGCGAGUUCUACCCCACUAAGGUCCGAUUAGUAAACCAUUAUACUAUAGGCUGCCUAAACACGCACAGGG